CGUCGCUAGGACGAACGCUGGCGGCGUGCCUAAUACAUGCAAGUCGAACGGCUUUUCUAUGGAAGCUUGCUUCCACUGAGAAGAUAGUGGCGAACGGGUGAGUAACACGUGGGUAACCUGCCCAUAAGAGGGGGAUAACAUCCGGAAACGGGUGCUAAUACCGCAUAGUUUUCUUGAUCGCAUGAUUGAGAAAGGAAAGAUGGCCUUUGUGCUGUCGCUUAUGGAUGGACCCGCGGCGUAUUAGUUAGUUGGUGAGGUAACGGCUCACCAAGACGAUGAUACGUAGCCGACCUGAGAGGGUGAUCGGCCACAUUGGGACUGAGACACGGCCCAAACUCCUACGGGAGGCAGCAGUAGGGAAUCUUCCGCAAUGGACGAAAGUCUGACGGAGCAACGCCGCGUGAGUGAAGAAAGGUUUUCGGAUCGUAAAACUCUGUUGUCAGAGAAGAACAAGUUGGAGAGUAACUGCUCCAGCCUUGACGGUAUCUGACCAGAAAGCCACGGCUAACUACGUGCCAGCCGCUGC
rnacentral:rRNA from 1 species